UCUGCGGCCCCUCCACGGUCCUCCAGCUCCUCUUCACAAUGCAAACUGAAGACACCCCUGCUGGUCCAAAGAGCCCGGAGCCUUGGGUCCCAGACCGCAUGUUCCGGGGUUGGCUUGUGUCCACCGGAGGUAGUUUGAGGUGUUUUCAUAAGAAGUUGGGAGCAGCUCUGUUGGCAGCUAUUAACCAAGCAUCAUAUUAAAACUGAAGUCUUAAGGAACCUUCUAAUUAAGGGAUUACCGGGGAUCACAAAGAAUAAAGCAAGGUGGACCAGAUGCUCCAAGGAACCUCAGGACCCACAUCAAUGGGACUAUUCUGGGACCUGUGAACAGACUCCAGUUCCAGGAAGAUGGUAUAACAACUGCUUAUUCAUGUUCAUUGAGGAAGAAGAAGUAGAGUAUUGCGUAAACGGAAUUGUGAAAAUUAACGCUGAUAGUUGGGUGAAGGUGCUGGUCUGCAGAAAGCACGUUCCAGAUGGUAACACCAGCAGGCAACAUCGUGCGGCUCCCAUCUCACAAGCUCGCCAGCCUGUGCAAAUUGCCCCCUAUCCCGUGGAUUCAAAUGUCCAGGCCACGCUCAUCAGGCUAAGACGUGUGGUGCAACAGCUGCUAAAGCAGUGCCAGGCUCUGUCUACCCCGGACCAGUCCACAGGGAUAAGCGCCAUUGACAAGAACAAAGAAGGGAAGAUGUGCUGGACAAAGGAGCCCUGGGGAUUCCUGGACUUUGGAAUAUAUUGAGGCUGGGUGGUGUCUAUUUCUCAGAGGCCUUUGCCCUCCAUGCAAGACAACUUGAGGGGAGCAGAGGAGAAGCGUGGGUAAGCUUUGCUUCUCAAGCCAACAAGCAUCUGGUAAGUUCCCUGCUGUGAGCAUCGCUCCACAAAAGUACCUGAGGUCAGGCAACCUAAGCAACCUCAAAAGCACCUCUGGAGUCUUCCCUUUUAAGAUACUCUGUCUGAGCCAAAUCAAUGGAACUCGCUGGUGAAAAAGCAAUUUCCCUGGAAAAUGAAUUUGGGUUUAAACCAACAAGUAGUAGCAUUUGGCAAGCCUUGAUGAGGAAAGCCAGUGUUUGGAGAAAUUGUGAAAACAGCAAGUCCUUUAGGAAAGUAAACACUGGGGGACUUAAUGCCAUUUUUGGGAUGUGACAGCUGUUCUGUCCCCACCCAUGAGUUGGGGACAGAACUGAAGCUGCAGGUUUGUUUUAAGUAUUUGCUGUUACAAACCUGUGGAUCCCCCAGGCCUCCUCUGCAGGUUUUGAAAGGAGAGAAAUGUUGAAGGUGACCCAGGCCAAACACAAUUUCUUUUCCCUGUUCAGUGUAUGAAGACACUGAAUACCCAGCGACUGGGUGGGCAGAGAUUUCCAGUAUGGUCAUUUCAUUGGUCCACAUUUCAGGCUUAUUUCUUUCUUGUCAAUGGCUACAUUUCUUGAAAAGUUUUACAUAAUUGA